CACGGGGGGAGCAAGCGUUGUUCGGAAUCACUGGGCGUAAAGGGUGUCUAGGCGGUCAGGUAAGUGAGAUGUGACAUGCCCCGGCUUACCCGGGGACCGGCAUCUCAUACUGUCUGGCUUGAGUAUGGGAGAGGAUGAGGGAAUUCCUGGUGUAGCGGUGAAAUGCGUAGAUAUCAGGAGGAACACCGGUGGCGAAGGCGGCAUCCUGGACCGGCAUUGACGCUGAGGCGCGAAAGCCAGGGGAGCAAACGGG
rnacentral:rRNA from 1 species